UACAGAGGGUGCAAGCGUUAAUCGGAAUUACUGGGCGUAAAGUGCGCGUAGGUGGUUCGUUAAGUUGGAUGUGAAAUCCCCGGGCUCAACCUGGGAACUGCAUUCAAAACUGUCGAGCUAGAGUAUGGUAGAGGGUGGUGGAAUUUCCUGUGUAGCGGUGAAAUGCGUAGAUAUAGGAAGGAACACCAGUGGCGAAGGCGACCACCUGGACUGAUACUGACACUGAGGUGCGAAAGCGUGGGGAGCAAACAGG
rnacentral:rRNA from 1 species